CAGAUGUGAAAGACCCCGGGCCGUCAACCUGGGAAGUUGCAUUUGAAACUAGGCAAACUAGAGUACUGUAGAGGGGGGUAGGAAUUUCAGGUGUAGCGGUGAAAUAGCGUAGAGAUCUGAAGGAAUACCGGUGGCGAAGGCGGCCCCCUCGGACAGAUACUGACACUCAGAUGCGAAAGCGUGGGGAGCAAACAGGAUUAGAUACCCUGGUAG
rnacentral:rRNA from 1 species